rnacentral:rRNA from 1 species
UACGGGGGGGGCAAUUGUUGUUCGGAAUUACUGGGCGUAAAGGGUCUGUAGGUGGCCAACUAAGUCAGACGUGAAAUCCCUCAGCUUAACUGGGGAACUGCGUCUGAUACUGGAUGGCUUGAGUGCAGGAGAGGAACGCGGAAUUCCAGGUGUAGCGGUGAAAUGCGUAGAUAUCUGGAGGAACACCGAUUGCGAAGGCAGCUCGCUGGAACGUAACUGACGCUGAGACGCGAAAGCGUGGGGAGCAAACAGG